UGAUUGAGCUGAACUUGUAUUUAACCUGGAAUAUUCCUCUAAAAUGUGCAUAGAUUUUAUGUUUAGUUAGUGAAGUUUUACUUUGCUACAAAAUGCGUAUGAUUAUUUACCUAGAAAACUUAUUUUUAUUUCUUAUAACCCAUCAGCAUUACGUGAACCUUGUAUGGAACUAUGUACAAAGUGAUAGAAUGAGUCACUCGCCGGGUGAGGAGAAUUCACCUAGAAUAUUCUCCACAGUCAUACACACAGACAGAGGUGUCCACAUAAGGAUUCACCACAGACCAGAUACAGAAUAUUGUCAACAUGGAGAUAUUACCCCUUAUUGGCCAUUGACAGUCACAUGCAGAGGAGUAUUUAGCAAAAGUGGAUGUAUUUGAACAUCUAUAAAGAGGAAGUGGAAACUGUGGAGAGAUACCCCUCUAUAGUCCUCCAGGAAUUACAAGCAUACAGCCUUUCUAUCAGCCAGUUUUUCAAUGUCAAAGAGGUUUAUGGCCAGGGAAUUUUGCACUCUUAAUCCUUCCCUCAAACUUGAUUGAGGAAAGAAUUCGAGAUGAAACGCAGGUGUUCAAAAGGGACAUUUCAAGAAUAGCUCAACAUUCAGCUCAUCCUGUACAAUGGAUAAUCUAAAUUUGAAACCUCAAGCAUUUUCAGACUGUCAAACUAAAGAGACUCUCACUACUGCAAAAGGAAAUGUGUACAACUGCAAUGGCUUUCAUACUACACGUGAUGAUAAUCAGGAGACGGAUCUUGUGGAAACAGAGCUGGUUUUGUACCCAAAGCCUCUCAUUGUUGAAUUGCUAAUGGAUGUGUGAGAAACAUUUUUUAACCAUCUGGAAGAGAGAUUUCAUGUUAUUCUAACCAACACUUUGACUGUUGUGGAGGCCAAGAAGGAAAAACUGAAAGCUGAGCUAGAUCUUCUCCUUCAACUUCACCAGCCUUGUGCCAAAAUGAUUAAAAUGGAUGUUCACGAUGCCGGAGCAGGCAGCUGAACUAGUGCUACAUCAGGAUCGUGUGGAUCAACACUAAAAGGGUAUACAGGAUGUCCUUUUACCUUCGCCACUAAAUCUGAAAAGAUGUGGGCCUCACUGCAAGCCAACCUGGACAAGCACAUCAGUGUCAUCCAGGCAUGACAGAGAGACUUUAGACAAAAGAUGGAGGGCCCGAGGGAAGCAAACGCUUUGACAAUGAGAUCUUUAAAGUAUGUUUUAGAUAUUCUCUGUGCACGUCACGAUCCAAGUUGAAUUGGAUGAAAGAAAAAGCCAAGUGAACAAUCUCAUUCACACUUACUCUCUGCUCCAAAGAAAAAAAAAAAAUGUUACACCCCAAGAAAUUGAGGUCUUUCAGUCGCAUCUGGAAAAAAUGGACGAGCGCAUUGAUUCUGCAGAGGUGGCCUUAAUACAGGAUAUGGAAGGAAAAGAAUCAAAGUGUCUGGAGCAGGCUAAAGAUAUAUUCAGGAAGUUUGAAGAAAAAUGUAAUUUUCUCACCAUUGAUCUGAAAUUUCUUGAAAAAAUGCUAAAUGAAUUUACCAAUACACAAGAUCAAAGCAGGCUUUGAAGAGUAACGUGCAGAAAAAGAAGAUUGAUAGCAUGUUGAGUAAUUUUAAAGGAAAUGAUUGCCGAGUAUGCCAAACCCAGUUCUGACAAGAAGAUUGUGAACCUAGAUGUAAUAACCAAUUUAACAACUCUGAUGGAGAAACUAAAGAAGAGUUGUCAGUAUCUUGGCUGCUUUCUGUCGUUGUGGUGGGGUAGUGACUCACCUCAAUCCAGGUGGCAGAGGACGAAUCUCAGUUGCCUCCGCGUCUGAGACCAUCAAUCCGCGCAUCUGAUCACGUGGCUUGUUGAGUGCGUUACAUGGAGACAUAGCAUGGGCCUCCACACGCGCUAUUCUCCACGGCAUCCACGCACAACUCACCAUGCACCCCACCGAGAGUGAGAACCACACAUUAUAGCGACCAUGAGGAGGUUACCCCAUGUGACUCUAUCCUCCCUAGCAACCGGGCCAAUUUGGUUGCUUAGGAGACCUGGCUGGGGUCACUCCGCACGCCCUGGAUUCGAACUCGCGACUCCAGGGGUGGUAGUCAAUGUCAAUACUAGUUGAGCUACCCAGGCCCCGAUGAUGAUGAUGAUGAUUAAAUUUUAUUACAUUUUUGUAGGACGUCUUUAUGGCUCACCCCCCUACCACAGGUUCCACUUCAGGGGGCUUUUGUGGUUGCAGCUCGCCCCUGGUUCCGUAAACAGCAUGAAAUAGGAAGCUCAGAUGGAGACGGCCUAGUCGUGUUAGGGUGUCCUUCUGGAUGAUGUGGCAGUAGGGGUUAUCAAAGACCUACUCAAGUUAGUGUCCGUAUACUGUAUUUUUAACUUUCAAUGAGCAAUAAAAUUAUACAACAAUGACACCAGAGAACAUCUCGUCGAACGUUCUGUUCCUAUCUGCUACUAAAAAGGGAAAAUACAAAGAGCAAAUAAUUAACAGAUAUUCAUACACAGGUUUAUUACCUCCAAAUAAGUGUCCUUAUAAGUGUCUGAUCAUGUUAUUUGAUUGUUUAUGGCCAAUGUCAAGCAUUUAUUAAGUGGCAAGCGUACGUUUUACUACUACAUUUUAGUAACGUAAAGGAAUAGUUCACCUAAAAAUGCUGUCAUCAUUUACUCCCCCUUGCACUGUUCUGAACCCAUAUGACUUUUUUUAUUAUGUGGAACACAAAAGGAGAUACAAUGGCAGUUGAACUCACUUUAAUGCAUCAAAAGCACUCAAAAGUAUCAUAAAACUAGUCCAUAUGACUAGUGCAUCAUAUUGCAACUUUUUUGAAGGCAUACAACAGGCAAAAAGUUAUUGCGUGAACAUGCGUGAUACUGUGAACAAGCUUCUCUUGAACGCUAAAGGACGUCAAGAUUUUCACUGAAAAUUGAUUUACAUUUUUUGGUAACUUUUCACAAAAACCUAUUGUAUUUCUCCAGAAGACUUGGAAUAUGAUGCAGGAGCCGCGUUGACUACUUUUAUGAUACUUUUGGUUCCUUUUUAAGCUGUAAAGUGAGGCACUAUCCCCUGCCAUUGCAUACCAGGAAAUUUAUUGAAACAUCUCCCUUGGUGUUUAGUACAAGAAAAAUGUCAUAUGGGCUUGGAACAACAUGACAGUGAGUAAAUUAUGACAAAAAAAUUUACUUAAGUUAACUUCCUUAAGAUAUCACAAAAUUAGAAAAUGAAAGUCUGUUGGGGAAGCAGAUAAUCUCACUGAAAGAUGUGACAUUAGUUAACAUGCAACAUUAGUUCUUCUACUGUGAGCAGCUGUUUGCAAACAGUGGCAGUGCCCACUAACAGGAACACAUGACUUCUAGGUAAAAUAAACUGGUAAAAUGAGAAAACAAUCUACUUCUCACAACGUUCACAAUGUUUGAUUCCUCUGAACAGGAUAGGCAAACCUCAGCACUUCCGGGAAGUACACUUUGACUUAAGAGAUAGACACUCUGCAACAACAGGUUGGAUUGUUCACUACUGUAUAUCCUCAUGAGCUUGAGAUUUAAUCUAAAUUAGCAGUCAUGUUAAGUCUCAGUUUAAAGCUCUACAAAGCUCAAUAAAAAUGUUAGAAUUGCACAUUGCUGUCUACCCUUUGCUGUACCUCCAGCAAAGUUAAACUUUCCUGCUGGAUCAGCUCAGAGGUCAGGAAAGAGCCCCAGUCAGUCUGGAAUGGAGAUUCUGCACAGAGGUUUGACAUUCCAACAUGAUUCUGUCCUCAGUGCACGGAGGUUCUCCAAACCAAACCGCUUCGAUAAGAGGUUCCAGGUUUUAGGCUCAAAUCCUGAAGAGCAGGACAGUAUUCCUCAGUGUUCCCUUCAAAGCCUGAGUCACCAGUAUUCUGUGGAAAGCCAAUUAUAUUCUUCUCUUUGUGGCCGAGGAGUUCUAUAAGAGGAAAGAGUGCCACCCUAUCACUUGUCCUCAUCAACGGCAGGAGACUUUUAAACAGUGUGCAGAAGAGAUAAACAAAAGGCUUCUCAUCUACCAGAGCCAGUCACAAGAUCACCACAACAGCUGCCUGCAAGGUUGACAGUUAAAAAUCAGCAAUUGAAGGCCAUUGAGGAGUUUCUAUCCAGCGUUGGAGAGAUACUUCUAUCUAAACUAAGGGAUCAAUAUUUCGUGGACCUGAUGUGAAGCAUGAUGCAAAUUCGUCACCGGUUUGAACUAGUUCAGCAACAAAGUGAACAAAAGAGUGUAUAUGAACAAAUGCAGAACAAUGGUUGGGGCAGAGGAAAUUAUCUUAUCAUCACCCCACUAACUUCCUCCCAUAAUCACAUUGAGGAAGAAGCCAUUUUACUGUCAUGAUGCAGUAUUACACCUACCAAAAAAAAAAAAAAAAAUGAAUGCAUAA